GGCAAUGUGGCCGAGUUGGUCUAAGGCGUCGGUCUCAAGUUCCGAUCUCGAAAGAGGCAUGAGUUCGAAUCUCAUCGUUGUCA
rfam:Conidiobolus coronatus NRRL 28638 unplaced genomic scaffold CONCOscaffold_225, whole genome shotgun sequence.